GCUGACCUCUUCGGAGGUAUGUGCACGCCUGCCAUCGUUUCAUUCUCCCUUCCACCUGUGCACUCCCUGUAGACCAAGCUGCUGCAACUUCGGAUGUACGUUGUGCACCCGGUAUGAGGGCUGCUCUCAGCUGUCCUUGAGGCGGUAGUCGCGGUCUACGUCUUUACCCACUCCAUUGCAUGUAAUAGAAUGUAUGUUUUGGGUUCUUUACAGACCCAUAAAAUCUUAUACAACUUUCAACAACGGAUCUCUUGGCUCUCGCAUCGAUGAAGAACGCAGCGAAAUGCGAUAAGUAAUGUGAAUUGCAGAAUUCAGUGAAUCAUCGAAUCUUUGAACGCACCUUGCGCUCCUUGGCAUUCCGAGGAGCAUGCCUGUUUGAGUGUCAUUAAAUCCUCAACCCCAUCUCCCUUGUGGUGAUUAGGUGUUGGACGUGGAAGCUGCUGGCUUGUCUAGAGUCGGCUCUUCUGAAAUAGAUUAGCAGGGCCACGCUGUGCGGCUUGGUAUUGAUAGUUGUCUUACCAGGUAGCUGAAAGCAUGUUAGUCCAGCUU
rnacentral:rRNA from 1 species